AGUGAACGCUGGCGGUAGGCCUAACACAUGCAAGUCGAACGGCAGCACAGUAAGAGCUUGCUCUUACGGGUGGCGCGUGGCGGACGGGUGAGGAAUACAUCGGAAUCUACUUUUUCGUGGGGGAUAACGUAGGGAAACUUACGCUAAUACCGCAUACGACCUACGGGUGAAAGCAGGGGAUCUUCGGACCUUGCGCGAUUGAAUGAGCCGAUGUCGGAUUAGCUAGUUGGCGGGGUAAAGGCCCACCAAGGCGACGAUCCGUAGCUGGUCUGAGAGGAUGAUCAGCCACACUGGAACUGAGACACGGUCCAGACUCCUACGGGAGGCAGCAGUGGGGAAUAUUGGACAAUGGGCGCAAGCCUGAUCCAGCCAUACCGCGUGGGUGAAGAAGGCCUUCGGGUUGUAAAGCCCUUUUGAUGGGAAAGAAAAGCAGCAGGUUAAUACCCCGCUGUUCUGACGGUACCCAAAGAAUAAGCACCGGCUAACUUCGUG
rnacentral:rRNA from 1 species